AAAAUUUUAGUUUAAUAUAAAAUAUUUCAUUUACAAUGAAAAGAUUUAAAUAAUAUAAAAAUUUUAAUUUAAAAAUAAUUUAAAUUUUU
rnacentral:tRNA from 1 species